rnacentral:rRNA from 1 species
GACAAACGCUGGCGGCGUGCCUAACACAUGCAAGUCGAGCGCGAAAGGGACCUUCGGGUCCCCUGAGAGCGGCGAACGGGUGAGUAACACGUGGGCAACCUGCCUCAAGGACUGGGAUAACUCCGGGAAACCGGGGCUAAUACCGGACGACGUCGUCUCGUGCAAGCGAGCCGACCAAAUGGUAGCUUCGGCCUCCGCCUUGAGAUGGGCCCGCGUCCUAUCAGCUUGUUGGUGAGGUAACGGCUCACCAAGGCUACGACGGGUAGCUGGUCUGAGAGGAUGAUCAGCCACACUGGGACUGAGAUACGGCCCAGACUCCUACGGGAGGCAGCAGUGGGGAAUCUUGCGCAAUGGGCGAAAGCCUGACGCAGCAACGCUGCGUGAGCGAAGAAGGCCUUCGGGUCGUAAAGCUCUGUCAGGGGGAAAGAAGGCACCUGGGUCAAUAGCCCAAGGGCUGACGGUACCCCCAAAGGAAGCCACGGCUAACUACGUGCCAGCCGCCGCGGUAAAAC